CGGCGAGAAACACUGGCCACUCAGACGAGCUGCAUCCCCGCUCCCACAUACUUCUCCCGGCUGUCGCUGGAAGGGAUCUUUGCAGAGAUAAAUAGCCAUCGAACCAGGCGCGAUCUCCUUGCUCGGGGAGGCAUUGAACGCACCGCGGAAGCUCCAGAAAGCUGACGUUUUUAUGGUUAUGGAUGUGGCCGCGCUGCCGAGGGGAGAGCAGGAGGAGGAGGAGGAGGAGGAGGAGGAGGAGGAAGGCCACCCGAGAGUUUUCUUCACGUCGCGCCGGCAGCAGAAAGGACAGAAAUGAUGCAUUUGGCUCGGCCGUUUUAAGUGAAUGAGAUGAAAAUGCAUAAAUAAAUGUCAAAUAUUUUCAAAUGCAUUCUGCCAUUUGUUAAAUAUAUUUUUUGACAUAUUUUUCCAUUUUUCGUAAUCAAAUACACCCUUAUUUUGAACGAAUUUUUGCAUUUUUUGUUUUUUAUUUUACUUUUUUUUUAUUGUAUUUGAAUUUUUUUGGAUCGGAUUUUUGCAUUUAAGUAUUUUUACGAAUUCUUGCAUUUAAAAAAAAACAAAACAUAUAUUUUAUAUUUUAUUUGAAUUUUUUGGAUCGGAUUUUUGCAUUUAAGUAUUUAAAAAAAAUCAAAUGCAUUCUGUUGGUCCCCAAAUUAAAACAAAUGUGCCUCGAU